rnacentral:rRNA from 3 species
GGGUUGUGAGGUUAAGCGACUAAGCGUACACGGUGGAUGCCCUGGCAGUCAGAGGCGAUGAAGGACGUGCUAAUCUGCGAAAAGCGCCGGCGAGGUGAUAUGAACCCUUGACCCGGCGAUGUCCGAAUGGGGAAACCCAGUGUGAUUCGUCACACUAUCGUUAACUGAAUACAUAGGUUAACGAGGCGAACCGGGGGAACUGAAACAUCUAAGUACCCCGAGGAAAAGAAAUCAACCGAGAUUCCCCCAGUAGCGGCGAGCGAACGGGGAGCAGCCCGGAGUCUGAAUCAGCUUGUGUGUUAGUGGAACGGUCUGGAAAGUCCGACGGUACAGGGUGAUAGUCCCGUACACGAAAGCACACUUGCUGUGAACUCGAAGAGUAGGGCGGGACACGUGGUAUCCUGUCUGAAUAUGGGGGGACCAUCCUCCAAGGCUAAAUACUCCUGACUGACCGAUAGUGAACCAGUACCGUGAGGGAAAGGCGAAAAGAACCCCGGCGAGGGGAGUGAAAAAGAACCUGAAACCGUGUACGUACAAGCAGUGGGAGCACCUUCGUGGUGUGACUGCGUACCUUUUGUAUAAUGGGUCAGCGACUUAUAUUCUGUAGCAAGGUUAACCGUAUAGGGGAGCCGAAGGGAAACCGAGUCUUAACUGGGCGUUAAGUUGCAGGGUAUAGACCCGAAACCCGGUGAUCUAGCCAUGGGCAGGUUGAAGGUUGGGUAACACUAACUGGAGGACCGAACCGACUAAUGUUGAAAAAUUAGCGGAUGACCUGUGGCUGGGGGUGAAAGGCCAAUCAAACCGGGAGAUAGCUGGUUCUCCCCGAAAGCUAUUUAGGUAGCGCCUCGUGAACUCAUCUUCGGGGGUAGAGCACUGUUUCGGCUAGGGGGCCAUCCCGGCUUACCAACCCGAUGCAAACUACGAAUACCGAAGAAUGUUAUCACGGGAGACACACGGCGGGUGCUAACGUCCGUCGUGAAGAGGGAAACAACCCAGACCGCCAGCUAAGGUCCCAAAGUCAUGGUUAAGUGGGAAACGAUGUGGGAAGGCACAGACAGCCAGGAUGUUGGCUUAGAAGCAGCCAUCAUUUAAAGAAAGCGUAAUAGCUCACUGGUCGAGUCGGCCUGCGCGGAAGAUGUAACGGGGCUAAACCAUGCACCGAAGCUGCGGCAGCGACACUAUGUGUUGUUGGGUAGGGGAGCGUUCUGUAAGCCGUUGAAGGUGUGCUGUGAGGCAUGCUGGAGGUAUCAGAAGUGCGAAUGCUGACAUAAGUAACGAUAAAGCGGGUGAAAAGCCCGCUCGCCGGAAGACCAAGGGUUCCUGUCCAACGUUAAUCGGGGCAGGGUGAGUCGACCCCUAAGGCGAGGCCGAAAGGCGUAGUCGAUGGGAAACAGGUUAAUAUUCCUGUACUUGGUGUUACUGCGAAGGGGGGACGGAGAAGGCUAUGUCAGCCGGGCGACGGUUGUCCCGGUUUAAGCAUGUAGGCGGAGGUUCCAGGUAAAUCCGGUACCUUAUUAACGCUGAGGUGUGAUGACGAGGCACUACGGUGCUGAAGUGAUAAAUGCCCUGCUUCCAGGAAAAGCCUCUAAGCAUCAGGUAACACGAAAUCGUACCCCAAACCGACACAGGUGGUCAGGUAGAGAAUACCAAGGCGCUUGAGAGAACUCGGGUGAAGGAACUAGGCAAAAUGGUGCCGUAACUUCGGGAGAAGGCACGCUGAUGUGUAGGUGAAGUCCCUGCGGACGGAGCUGAAAUCAGUCGAAGAUACCAGCUGGCUGCAACUGUUUAUUAAAAACACAGCACUGUGCAAACACGAAAGUGGACGUAUACGGUGUGACGCCUGCCCGGUGCCGGAAGGUUAAUUGAUGGGGUUAGCUGUAAGGCGAAGCUCUUGAUCGAAGCCCCGGUAAACGGCGGCCGUAACUAUAACGGUCCUAAGGUAGCGAAAUUCCUUGUCGGGUAAGUUCCGACCUGCACGAAUGGCGUAAUGAUGGCCAGGCUGUCUCCACCCGAGACUCAGUGAAAUUGAACUCGCUGUGAAGAUGCAGUGUACCCGCGGCAAGACGGAAAGACCCCGUGAACCUUUACUAUAGCUUGACACUGAACACUGGUCCUUGAUGUGUAGGAUAGGUGGGAGGCUUUGAAGCGUGGACGCCAGUCUGCGUGGAGCCGUCCUUGAAAUACCACCCUUUAAUGGCUGGUGUUCUAACGUAGACCCGUAAUCCGGGUUGCGGACAGUGUCUGGUGGGUAGUUUGACUGGGGCGGUCUCCUCCCAAAGAGUAACGGAGGAGCACGAAGGUUGGCUAAUCCUGGUCGGACAUCAGGAGGUUAGUGCAAUGGCAUAAGCCAGCUUGACUGCGAGCGUGACGGCGCGAGCAGGUGCGAAAGCAGGUCAUAGUGAUCCGGUGGUUCUGAAUGGAAGGGCCAUCGCUCAACGGAUAAAAGGUACUCCGGGGAUAACAGGCUGAUACCGCCCAAGAGUUCAUAUCGACGGCGGUGUUUGGCACCUCGAUGUCGGCUCAUCACAUCCUGGGGCUGAAGUAGGUCCCAAGGGUAUGGCUGUUCGCCAUUUAAAGUGGUACGCGAGCUGGGUUUAGAACGUCGUGAGACAGUUCGGUCCCUAUCUGCCGUGGGCGCUGGAGAAUUGAGGGGGGCUGCUCCUAGUACGAGAGGACCGGAGUGGACGCAUCACUGGUGUUCGGGUUGUCAUGCCAAUGGCACUGCCCGGUAGCUAAAUGCGGAAGAGAUAAGUGCUGAAAGCAUCUAAGCACGAAACUUGCCCCGAGAUGAGUUCUCCCUGAGACUUUAAGUCUCCUGAAGGAACGUUAAAGACGAUGACGUUGAUAGGUCGGGUGUGUAAGCGCAGCGAUGCGUUGAGCUAACCGAUACUAAUGAACCGUGAGGCUUAACCUUACAACGCCGAAG